rnacentral:lncRNA from 1 species
UGGAUUAGUCAAGGAAAAUCAUUUCCAAAUUGUUGCGGCAACCCUGUAUAUUUUUUUAUCACCUGUAGGUUUCAAGAUAUCUUUUUUAUGAUUGAAAAAGAAUAUUUACAGUAUGAGCUGUUGAAUUCUGUACUUUUAGAAAAAAUUAAAUGUAGAAAAUAAAGUACGCAACACCAAAUGACACAAGACAUUUUUUUUAUUUAAAAAAAAUGCUCACUUUCUGUAUACAUUAUAAUAGCCUACAGUUUUUUGCUGUGUUUUUACUUGCAAGUUUGAUUUCUUUCUCUCAGACUUCAGCAUCGGUUAUCGAUUUUAGAAUCCGAAUUGAAUUCAUUCAAAGCCCAACAGUCUCAACUCUUGUCAACAAUUGAACAGCAGGAGAAACAAAUCAAUCAGAUCAAUGAAAACGCCAAGCGACAGCAAGAAGUUGAUGCUAAAUCUUACGAAAAGUUUAAACAGGAAUUAGAAGUGCAGAAUGAGAAGCUGAAAAAAGAAUGGGAAACAAUGAAACAUGAAAAGGAGCUCAGCGUCAUGAAGUACGCCAAGGGUGAAAUGGAUGUCAUCAAGCUGCGAGAAAAAAAUGAAGCAUCUCAAAAAAAGUUGCUGGAAGUCACAAAAGAAAGAGACAAUGCGCUCGCAAACAUGAAGCAGUUAAUUUCUGACAAGGCGAAGUAUUCGCAAAUGUACGAUAAUAAGUGUUCAGAGGUUCGAGUAGCACAUAAUGAGAUAGAACAGCUGAAGUCUGACCUUAAUUCUAAUAAUAACAAGUUGAAAAAGACACAGAACAAAUUGAAAGAAGAGCAAGAGAGCCAUAAGGAAACGCAGAGUAAGCUUGAUGAAGUAACUAGUACAAUUGAAACCGCAAAAAAGAAGCAGAACAAGUGAAACUGGAAGCUGAAGCUAGCAUAAAAAAAUUUAAAGUUUCACAAGAAAUCGAGCCUUUGUCCUAGGUUUGUCAGUUUUCUAUCUUUUAAAGCUUUUUUUCUUUCCUAUUUUUUCAUUAAACACCGUAAUUGCCAAUGUUUUCUACGCAUUUAUUUACAAUGACCUACCUGCUCAUUUUUUCUAAUGAAUUUGAAGAAUCUAGAUAAAAAUAUUAAAUAUCACCAGAAAUGUUCUUUCUUUCCUUCAACAUCACGAGUAAUUACUGUUUGCCCAAUACAAUUAUCGUAUAAUUCAUUCUCACAUAAAUGAAUUUUUCGAAGCACAGUUUAUUAUUUUGAAC